rnacentral:lncRNA from 1 species
AAGUAUCAAGCUAUGUGUGUGUGAAAUUUGGAAGGAUUUGGAGAUGAUUUGUGCAAGAUAUUGAGAAGAAAAAUGAAGAACUCCUUGGGUUGUUUUUGCAGCUGAUGGCCGGCCACUUUUUGAGGAAGAGAGAGAGUGUUUUGAUCUGAUAUAGCUUCCUAGGAAAGCUUUAUUUGUGGGGCUAAGAUUGGUACAAAAGUCAACUCUUCAAUAGUGCGCGUACGCGCGUUUUGUGCUCGAUUCCUCUCGCGUUCAUUUCACUAGUGCACUAAACCUCCAAUAUACUUAUAAUAAUAUUAAUAUUAUUUACUCUUAAUUAUCCCAAAAUAAAGGUCUAAAGUCCUUCAAUUAAGUCACGUGUGUAAAAACGCGUAUCUCCAAAUUAAGCGCGUUAAAACGAAACUUCCAAGAAAUUCUUAUAACGAUGGUACUAAUAACUAUCACUUGAAUAUUUAAAUACAUAAAUACCUAUCUUAGGACCAUUAUACGAGUCUCCAACUUUCCCAACUUACGGUAUCUUUGAAUCGAUUAUUGACUCCAAUCGCGUAUUCACUAUUUUCAAUUAACGAGUUUUCAAAAAUUAAAUUUUGAAACGAAUCACUUUAAAAAUAUAACGAAACUAUAAAUCCAUUUAAUUAGCUCUAAAGAGGUUAGAAAGUAAUAUUCGGACUAAAUGGGUAAUUAAAUAUUUAAAUAAACUCGAAAUGAAAUUUUAAAAUAAUAAAAAUUUUGUGAGACAUCACAUCCUCUCCCCCUUA